rnacentral:rRNA from 1 species
AUUGAACGAUGGCGGAAGGGAGAACAAAGGCAAGUCGAGCGGAUGAAGGGAGCUUGCUCCUGGAUUCAGCGGCGGACGGGUGAGUAAUGCCUAGGAAUCUGCCUGGUAGUGGGGGAUAACGUCCGGAAACGGGCGCUAAUACCGCAUACGUCCUGAGGGAGAAAGUGGGGGAUCUUCGGACCUCACGCUAUCAGAUGAGCCUAGGUCGGAUUAGCUAGUUGGUGGGGUAAAGGCCUACCAAGGCGACGAUCCGUAACUGGUCUGAGAGGAUGAUCAGUCACACUGGAACUGAGACACGGUCCAGACUCCUACGGGAGGCAGCAGUGGGGAAUAUUGGACAAUGGGCGAAAGCCUGAUCCAGCCAUGCCGCGUGUGUGAAGAAGGUCUUCGGAUUGUAAAGCACUUUAAGUUGGGAGGAAGGGCAGUAAGUUAAUACCUUGCUGUUUUGACGUUACCAACAGAAUAAGCACCGGCUACCUUCGUG